UAUCUCAUUAAGCAAACUAAUCCAAACUAUCCACAAAAGCUAACUGUCACCACGCCACCACACCACCACCUACGCCUGUCUGUCCACUCCCAAGUCCUACUCAUAUGAGAAACAUGAGGCCGAGUGCAAACACACAUACUACUGUGAACUACAUACAGCUACAUGGUUCCCAGUAUUCUCGACACCAACUCUAUUCAAUCUGCUAUGUAGAAACGCAGCAACUUCAAUGGUUUCACACCUUUUCCUAGCACAAAUAAAUCAAAAGACUAAAACUUGAAUUUUCUAUUGACUCUAGUUAAUCUCAAUUUUAAAAGGAAAUCAGGUGCAGUAACCUACAAAAACCUCAAUUCCUUCUUCAGAUUGGGAAGGGAAAUGAAAUCCCGUCGAGCAAUUCUCCAACAUUUUUAGGGGUUUCUAAACGAGUUUGUACAAGAGAAGAAACUAGCUCUUUCACUCCGUACUGUACAAGAGAGCCGAGAGAUUUUUUUUUAUUGCACUGAAAUUGAAUUGCAAAGCCAAUUAUUACGGAUUCCUUUAACCUCAUUUCAUCAAUCACAGGAGAAAAUUCACAAAACAUUGAGCAGCACAGGGAAGAGUUCAAACUUCAAAUAUCUAUAAUAUCGUAAGCAUUACCUAAUUCAAAAUUACCUAAAUUUUAGAGGGAUGAUGGUUGGUACUUGCCUUGGUACUGGUAGUAGCAGUGUCCUCGACGGUGGUGAUAGGGUGAUGAUGGUGGUUGCGACGGCGGAGGUGGUGAUGGGGGGGUGAUGAUGUUGGUCGGAGUCAAGGUGAGCACUGUGAGUCGGAGUCGCGACAGCGCUGUGAGAGUGGUGAGCACUGUGAGUCGG
rnacentral:lncRNA from 1 species